rnacentral:rRNA from 1 species
GAUGAACGCUGGCGGCGUGCCUAAUACAUGCCAGUCGAGCGAACGGACGAGAAGCUUGCUUCUCUGAUGUUAGCGGCGGACGGGUGAGUAACACGUGGAUAACCUACCUAUAGGACGGGGAUAAUUUCGGAAAACCGAAGUAAAAACGGGAGAAUUUUUGAAACGGCUGGUUUAAAAGGUAAAAGAGGAUCUUUCGGCACUUUUAAAUUGGACCGCGCUUCAUUUGCUAGUUGGUAAGGGUACGGCUUACCAAGGCAAAGAUGCAUAGCCGAACUGAGAGGGUGAUCGGCCACACUGGAACUGAGACACGGUCCAGACUCCUACGGGAGGCAGCAGUAGGGAAUCUUCCGCAAUGGGCGAAAGCCUGACGGAGCAACGCCGCGUGAGUGAUGAAGGUCUUCGGAUCGUAAAACUCUGUUAUUAGGGAAGAACAUAUGUGUAAGUAACUGUGCACAUCUUGACGGUACCUAAUCAGAAAGCCACGGCUAACUACGUG